rnacentral:tRNA from 1 species
AGAGUAGCUCAGUGGUAGAGCAGAGGACUCAUAAGCCUUUGGUCGGUGGUUCAAGUCCACUCUCUG